UCAUGUUCAUAAAAAGACGAGAGAGCCAGUGUCAUGAGUCUGUGCUAGCUGUCAUUUCUACAGAUGUGAUGAUAUUGUUUUUCAGGUCCUAGUCGCAGGUUUAAAAGAGUGGUAGAGACCAUUCAAGCUCAGCUUCUCAGUACACAUGACCAGCCCUCUGUGCAGGCGCUUACAGAUGAGAAAAAUGGGCUUUCGUCUCGCCCACCCAGCACACCGACCCGACAGAACUCUCGUCGCUCGGAGGGCGGAGGUGAUCGCGGUGAGCGAGCAGAGCGCAGCGAUCGAGGAGAAGGGAGCAGUAUUGGCGGUAGUGUGAGUGUACUACAAAGAAAGGGGUCUGGGAAGGAUAAAACUCGCCUCCUGUCCUCAAAUGGGACACAGUCUCAACCCUAAGUGAACUAAUCAGAAAAGCUGUCGAGUGGGUGGGAACAAUCCCCGCUCUUGAUUCCCCCCAGACACGACUCCCUCAUAGUCCAUCUGCACAGUACACAACAACAGGUAUACUCAGCCUUGAUUUUCACAUCACUAGCGGAAACCCUGGGAUCCAACUGCGACAAUAGGAGAGUCAGGAGUCUAUCCACAUGGAAGUGUUCUUACAUGAAAAUAAUUAUCUGAUGAAAAAAAUUACGAUCACUUAUCCUUGUUAGGAACAAAGGAUUUGAAAAAUGGAAGCAAGAUGUAUGGCUUCAUAUAAACCCCAGCUAUAAAUUAUUUCAUACACUACAAACAAGGAGAUUGACAUCCGGUGGACAUCCAGUGACCUAAUAGCAACAAACAAUACAAGGAGGAACAAACACCAAGUGGGACAGGAAAGAAUGUCUCCAAAACUUAUCUUCAUCCUCAUUAUCAUCAUCAUCAUCAUCCUCAUUAUCAUAAUCAAUGAUCCAUCAGAAAAUCACAGUGAGCUGUUUGAGGCAGAGAAAAGCAAAGAUUGUGGGAAAAAGUGGGAAGUUCUCCAUUCUUAACACCACUUGGAGAAAAAAAAAAAGGAUUUCUAGAACACUAUGUAAAGAAAAGAAUAGGGAUUUUUAGAACGGCGAUCUAAAUAUUGUAACACAAGUCCUGUGACUAUACCUUCGUGAGCUGAGGACGGAUUAUGCCUUUAGUGAGAUAUUACAUGUUGAAGAUAUAGGCUAUGUUAAACACUGAUUGUUCAAGCUUGUGUUGUAGAUCCUGAACUCUGUGAUAUGUUAUAGAGUUAAAAUCAGUCAGUGUCAGAUAUACAGUGGAGAGCUGCCCACUGGAAGCUACAGUUGGCAAAAUUGGCCAGUUUUAAGUCGCAGUUCUGAAAGUAUCUCAGAUCCACCCCACUUACUAAGCAGGGCACUGAGGGAUGAGCAGGCAUUUCCUAUGACAUGUUCACACAGAGAACGAACAAGAGGAACAAAAUAGCCAGUCACUCCCUUGUGUCAUACAAAGAGACAGCGUGAGAAAAAAUGCAAAAGCCUCCACCAUUUUCUCAUGUGAUUCCUGGUAGAACUUCCAUCAUAAGUAGAAGUCCAAAAAAAUCUUUUUUUGCUUUCCAUUUCAAUAUUUAUAUUGUAUUUUUGAGCUGAGAUGUGAAAUAUUUCCAUCAACAAAAUGAAGUGAAUGUCAAAAAACAAAAAUAUAAAUAUUUUACAUUUUAAUUAAUUUAAAGAUAUUUAUUUCAGUGAAUAUUUAUUUAUUUAUUUAUUUAUUGGAUUAAUGUUGAGGCUGGUAAACUCAAAAUGACAUGGGUGAAAAAAUUACCAAUUUAGAAAAUGGCAGAAAACUUCCUAUUUCUAUCUGUUCCCAAAUAUUUGAUAUCAAUGCUGCAAAUGUCCUUUUAAAAACCAUUUGAGUAGCCUUCGUUUACCCAUUUCAUUUUCAUUUCUUUUUCAAUAAAAAAGAAGCAAACUCCCAAAGGAGAAAGCUGGAGAACAACUUUGAAAAAUCAUCCAAGCAAUGACUCCAUGCCUUGGACGUCUCCCACGGGGAAGAGACUUCAAAACCCUCCAGGAUGUAUGACGUAAAGACUGAAGUGAACCUUACAGAAGCAGAGGAACAAAACAGAGGGAAUGAGAAGAAGGCCCGCUGUGUUUACUCUUCAUCUUUGAGAAUGUUACCCAGACGAGAGCCCAAAGUUUCGGACUCGUGCGUACUGGGCCAGCCCUUCGUACAAAAUGCGAGCAGUAUUCUUUUUUCACACACGCACACACAUCCAAACACACACACACACACGAAGAAGACUCUCCUUCUCAAAACUGACAAUAUGAAACAAAAUGAAUGAUAACUGGACUUUGAAACUGGAAUGCACUGUCCUAAAAAGAGAAUUGUAUUCAAACAAAUAGUUGUCCCUUUCCUUGCCCACCCACUGGAAUCAAUGAAGUGCUCUCUUAAGUGCAGACUCAGGAUCAGUGGGGCUUUUUAGCUCAUUACAUUUGUGAAUGGGGGGGAACCUGAUCCUGAAUAUCCACUUAAAAGCUCUUUCUCCAAUGAGCCUCUGCCCUGAAGCCCAGAAUCUGACCAUAAUGCUCCACUCUCUCUCUCUCUCUCUCUCUCUCUCUCUCUCUCUCUCUCUCUCUCUCUAGUCCACUCUUUUCCUGAUGCAAGGAGCACUAAAUGCAAAGCAAGGUUUUGCUCUGGUCCUCCCUCUGCCACCAUCCCGCAGCCAUCACAUACACUCCUGGCAAAAAAUAGUAUAGCGGAAGACUAAGCUUCGGAAGGUUCAGACAUCGAGCAGCUCCUGCAUCAUCCUGAAUUGAUUUUCCAUAGCACAUUGAAUAUAUUUCACUACUGUUGAAUGUUUAGGCGCAUCGUUCAUUAGAUAUGAUAUGGGGUACAUUCUUAUUUUAGUACACUCCAAAUGCCUUAAAGCCACAUAUACAAAACGGUCAGCAUGUGCGCUCUCAAACAUACCCGGUCACUUGCAGAGGCAGAGAAAACACCAGAGCAAAACCCUGAAGAUGUUCUUUGUUCAAUUCUGUUAGUUCUCAGGCAGGGUAAGUCUGGGAGUGUGCAAAUACAGACUGUCUGGGCACCAGCUCUGAGUGAAUGUGAAAUACACUCCACAUGCUUUCUCUGUGUUCAUGACACUCUCCUGCUCUAUGUGUCCAUCCUCUCCUCCUCCUCCCUUUCACAUUAUGCACUGAAUGAUAUUCUGUUUUUGUUUCUCGCCUCACACAUACAGCACACGUAUCACAUUUCAAUAUGUAUCGUUAGUCUUCACUUAUUUACCAUACAUUAUAUACCUCGUCCUGCUCCUGCCUCCCAAUCAUAGAAUUAUACUUUAGACCACCCCCUUCCCUUUCCUCUCAUUAUAUACAUACACCCUGCCUGCCCCCAAUGUAUGCUCCCCCUCCCCCCGUCUCUGUUCAUUGUAAACAGAAAAUAUUACUCAUAUCUUCAUUCUUUAUCCAUUCUAUAUUCACCUGAUGGUUAUUGAUUAUCUUUGUCGUCAUUACUGAUAACUCCUCUUAAGAUUGUAAAGCUGUACUCUUUCUUCCCCGUCGCGCACAGUAGGAACUUUUUUCGUAAGAAAUGCAAGUCAUUAAAUUGGAGGGAAAAAAAUAAUGAUGAGAAAAUAAAUGUCUGUGUAAUAAUUCAAAAAAUGAAAGUGCACUAUUAUUAUUGCCUGUGAUAAA